AGGACGAACGCUGGCGGCACGCUUAACACAUGCAAGUCGAACGUGAAGCCCGGGCUUGCUCGGGUGGAAAGUGGCGAACGGGUGAGUAACACGUGAGGAACCUGCCCCGAAGACCGGGAUAACACCGGGAAACCGGUGCUAAUACCGGAUACCCUCGCUGGAUCGCAUGGUCUGGUGAGGAAAUGGAUUCCGCUUCGGGAUGGCCUCGCGGCCUAUCAGCUUGUUGGUGAGGUAACGGCUCACCAAGGCGACGACGGGUAGCUGGUCUGAGAGGAUGUCCAGCCACACUGGGACUGAGACACGGCCCAGACUCCUACGGGAGGCAGCAGUGGGGAAUCUUGCGCAAUGGGCGAAAGCCUGACGCAGCGAUGCCGCGUGCGGGAUGACAGCCUUCGGGUUGUAAACCGCUUUCAGCAGGGACGAAAUUGACGGUACCUGCAGAAGAACGCCCCGGCAACUACGUGCCAGCAGCCGC
rnacentral:rRNA from 1 species